GUUAAAGCCUCUGUAUAAACUUUUAAGAUUCUGGCGGUCGGGUGCGGAGAUUGCUCAUUUUGCGGCCGCCAGAGACAAGCCUCCAGUGACUUGGAGAAGUUUCCGGUCUUAGGCUGAACAGCACAUGCUAGUGAAUUAGAUCUGCUGCCCAAGGUGUGAAUUAAGAGCAGGACUGGCUGCCGGUGAGACAACCGCCAUCUACCCACCCCCCAGCCCUUGCCCAAAAUAACAGAAGCGAGAGGCUGAACGAAGUAGCCGUGUUGUCUGCCUUGUGAUUUAUUUCUUAGUAUUCACUUGCAUUUUGCAUGAUUUCUAUUUCUAUACAUAUAGCAUAUUUUCCCAUGUCUAUAAAGCUUUAGGAAGUGCCCUGGUGAAUAUGUGAAUAAACUCUGCUUAGUCGGUUAGGUCCCCAGAUGCCCUGGGACGCCUUGGGGGUGAGUGAACGGUGAGGAAUUCAACCAGAACUGUUUGUGUGGCCUUGCCCUUCCACUGAGACUGUUUGCACGCCUUUUUCUUUAGCUAGGAUAAUCGUCUCAUUUUCCCUCAUAUACUGUUGGUUUUCCGUAAGGCAAAUUCAUGGAAGUGAAAUAUUCCUGGUUAUUUUAACGUAAGAAUGUGGAUGGGACAGAUCAGCUUAGAUCACUGCUCAGUUCUCUUUGGCCAGAACAACUGCUUAAUUUAUUCUUUUUCCUCCAAGCAGAGUGCCAACCAGAGUGUCUCAAAUCAUUGGAGAUUAAAGAAUUCAUGCUGGUUUUUAGACCUUUGGAUAUUUCACAUAUUGAAAGCUCUGAUAAGACUUUCAUCAUUCAAAGGAAAAAGAUGAUAAAUUCAGGUUUAGCCUUCUGGCCUCCAAACUCAGAAAUAGUUCAGGGUGUCCAUGUCCUGUCUCUUUUUCAGUGAGUCUUAAAUGCAGAGGGAGAGAAACUUAAGAGUUGAGUUUGUCAGAUGAGGAUUCAGUGAUCGCAACCACAGCAUGAAGUUUUCUGUUAUCAUUCCCAUUUUGUGAGUGGGCAAAUGGAGGCACACAAAGAUCAAGAAAUUUGUCUAACUUCAGAAAGCUAGAGAAUGGUGCAGCCAGUGGUCAAAUUCUUCUCUGUCUCCUUGCCUGGUGGCAGGAAGAAGCAUAGGUACCUGGUUAUAUUCUCCCAGAGUGUUUUAACUGUGAUUUUCUCACCCUUAGUGCAUCAUGAUAGCAAGAUACUGAGUCAUGACCAACACUGCCAUGAAAUAAAGUAAAGUAAGAGAGGCAUGAGUUGUUUCUUGAAACUUUUGUUUCAUUUAUGUAAUAUAAACACACAUAUUCAUGCACACUGUUUUGUGAUAUAAACUGUCUCUAUUUCUUCCUGUGAUCCUACUCAGAAAUGAAACUAAUUAAACUGCCAAACUAUC